rnacentral:rRNA from 1 species
CUACGGGGGGCACCAGCCAGGAAUCUUCUGCAAUGCGCGAAAGCGUGACAGAGCGAGCCAGAGUGCUUUUCCGUAUAGGAAAAGCUUUUGUGGAAUGCAAAAAGUUUCACGAAUAAGGACCGGGAGAGACUGGUGCCAGCCGCCGCGGUAAUACCAGCGGUCCAAGUCGCAGCCACUUUUAUUGGGUCUAAAACAUCCGUAGCUUGCUUAGCAAGUUCCUUGUUAAAUCUGGCCUCUUAAGGGUCGGGCCGCGAGGGAUACUGCUUUGCUUGAGACCGGGAGAUGUAGCGAGUACAUGUAGGGUAGCGGUAAAAUGCGUUGAUCCUAUUUGGACUAACAACAGCGAAGGCACGUUACAAGAACGGAUCUGACAGUGAGGGAUGAAGGCUAGGGGCGCAAAACGGAUUAGAUACCCUUGUAGUC